GAUGAAGAACGUAGCGAAAUGCGAUACGUAAUGUGAAUUGCAGAAUUCAGUGAAUCAUCGAGUCUUUGAACGCACAUUGCGCCCCCUGGUAUUCCGGGGGGCAUGCCUGUCCGAGCGUCAUUGCUGCCCUCAAGCACGGCUUGUGUGUUGGGCCUCCGUCCUCCUCCCGGGGGACGGGCCCGAAAGGCAGCGGCGGCACCGCGUCCGGUCCUCGAGCGUAUGGGGCUUCGUCACCCGCUCUUGUAGGCCCGGCCGGCGCUUGCCGACACAUCAAUCUAUUUUCCAGGUUGACCUCGGAUCAGGUAGGGAUACCCGCUGAACUUAAGCAUAUCAAUAAGCGGAGGA
rnacentral:misc_RNA from 1 species